GACAGAGGGUGCAAACGUUGUUCGGAAUUACUGGGCGUAAAGGGCGCGUAGGCGGCGUGUUAAGUCACUUGUGAAAUCUCUAAGCUUAACUUAGAACGGUCAAGUGAUACUGAUGUGCUAGAGUGCAGAAGGGGCAACCGGAAUUCUUGGUGUAGCGGUGAAAUGCGUAGAUAUCAAGAGGAACACCUGAGGUGAAGACGGGUUGCUGGGCUGAUACUGACGCUGAGGCGCGAAAGCCAGGGGAGCGAACGGG
rnacentral:rRNA from 1 species